CGCGCCUAACACAUGCAAGGCGAGCGAAGCACUUUGCUUAGAUUCUUCGGAUGAAGAGGAUUGUGACUGAGCGGCGGACGGGUGAGUAACGCGUGGGUAACCUGCCUCAUACGGGGGGAUAACAGUUAGAAAUGACUGCUAAUACCGCAUAAGACCACAGCACCGCAUGGUGCAGGGGUAAAAACUCCGGUGGUAUGAGAUGGACCCGCGUCUGAUUAGCUAGUUGGUAAGGUAACGGCUUACCAAGGCGACGAUCAGUAGCCGACCUGAGAGGGUGACCGGCCACAUUGGGACUGAGACACGGCCCAAACUCCUACGGGAGGCAGCAGUGGGGAAUAUUGCACAAUGGGGGAAACCCUGAUGCAGCGACGCCGCGUGAGCGAAGAAGUAUUUCGGUAUGUAAAGCUCUAUCAGCAGGGAAGAAAAUGACGGUACCUGACUAAGAAGCACCGGCUAAAUACGUGCCAGCAGCCGCGGUAAUACGUAUGGUGCAAGCGUUAUCCGGAUUUACUGGGUGUAAAGGGAGUGUAGACGGAUGGGCAAGUCUGAUGUGAAAACCCGGGGCUCAACCCCGGGACUGCAUUGGAAACUGUUCAUCUAGAGUGCUGGAGAGGUAAGUGGAAUUCCUAGUGUAGCGGUGAAAUGCGUAGAUAUUAGGAGGAACACCAGUGGCGAAGGCGGCUUACUGGACAGUAACUGACGUUGAGGCUCGAAAGCGUGGGGAGCAAACAGGAUUAGAUACCCUGGUAGUCCACGCCGUAAACGA
rnacentral:rRNA from 1 species